rnacentral:lncRNA from 1 species
CUGAGAGAAUGGUUUUCAAACCAGCCAAAUUACAAGCUUUACGAAGUUCUAUGCAUACCUCAAAUGGUACUGGCGGUUCAACAUGUAACAAACAGUCGUGUAAUCGCUUUGAUGAUCCCAAUGAGUGUGAAUCUAAAAUUAGAGUUUUCAAGCAAGGAACAUGGUAAUAAAUAUAAUAUAACGUAUAUACACAUAUAUAUUCUAUAUAUAGAGUCGUUUUUUUUUCAUUUUUUUUUGCUAACAUUUCAUUUGUGUUUAUUUAUACAUACAUAUAUUUAUAUCAUGUUUUAUUUUUUUUUUUUUUUAUUUUUUUUUUAUAACAGUGGUAAUUGUUGGGCGUUUGCCUCGAUUACAGUAUUUGCAGCCUACAGAUGCAGAAAAGGGUUAGGGUUUGCUGAACCCUCUGCGAAGUAUAUAACGUUAUGCAAGAAUCGACACUUAUCAAUAGAGAGCUAUUCACACUUGAAUCAUUAUAAUGAUAAUAUAUGUCAUGAAGGAGGUAACCUGGAUGAUUUUUUAAGAUUAUCAAAUAAGACUAAGAUGAUACCGACAUCUCAUGACGUCCCUUUUGAAAAGCCAAUGAUAAGCGCAGAUUGUCCGACAAAUACAAACAAUAGUUGGUCAAAUUUAUGGGGUAGCGAAUCAUCAUUGGGCACGAAAAUAAUUGGUCAUUAUCGUUAUGAAGGCUUGUAUAUGAUUAGAUUUAGUGAUUAUGCGAAUUCAGGACGGAUAGAAGAGUUAAUUAAUAUAUUAAAGGACAUAAUUAUAGAACAAGGUGCAGUGUAUAUAAGUUUCCUCGUAAAUGAUGCAUUAAAAUAUGACCAUGAUGGUAAAAAGAUUUUAUUUUAUUGUAAUGGUGACUAUAGAGCUAAUCAUGCUGCAGCGUUAAUAGGAUAUGGUGAAUAUGUUAAAGAUGAUGGAACUCCUAGCAAAUAUUGGUUAAUACGUAACAGUUGGGGUAAACAGUGGGGUGAUAAUGGAAACUUUAUAAUUGACAUGUAUGGGCCUCCAAAUUGUAAUGGUAAAGUAUUACAUAGUGCAUUUCCACUUCUGAUAGAUUACAAAGGUAAAAGAGUGGAUGCACCGUUACCUAAUGACUCAGCUGCAAAAUACAGUAACGAAAUUUACGAUCAAAAUA